rnacentral:rRNA from 1 species
CCUACGGGUGGCAGCAGUGAGGAAUAUUGGUCAAUGGACGCAAGUCUGAACCAGCCAAGUAGCGUGAAGGAUGACUGCCCUAUGGGUUGUAAACUUCUUUUAUCUGGGAAUAAAAUGUUCCACGUGUGGGAUUUUGUAUGUACCAUAUGAAUAAGGCUCGGCUAAAUCCGUGCCAGCAGCCGCGGUAAUACGGAGGAUCCGAGCGUUAUCCGGAUUUAUUUGGGUUAAAGGGAGCGUAGGUGGAUUGUUAAGUCAGUUGGGAAAGUUUGCGGCUCAACCGUAAAAUUGCAGUUGAAACUGGCAGUCUUGAGUACAGUAGAGGUGGGCGGAAUGCGUGGUGUAGCGGUGAAAUGCUUAGAUAGCACGAAGAACUCCGAUUGCGAAGGCAGCUCACCGGACUGCAACUGACACUGAGGCUCGAAAGUGUGGGUAUCAAACAGGAUUAGAUACCCCUGUAGUC